GACGAACGCUGGCGGCGUGCCUAAUACAUGCAAGUCGAGCGAAUCUUUAGGAGCUUGCUCCUAAAGAUUAGCGGCGGACGGGUGAGUAACACGUGGGCAACCUGCCUGUAAGACUGGGAUAACUUCGGGAAACCGGAGCUAAUACCGGAUAAUCCUUUUCCUCACAUGAGGAAAAGUGUGAAAGACGGCGUAAGCUGUCACUUACAGAUGGGCCCGCGGCGCAUUAGCUAGUUGGUGAGGUAAUGGCUCACCAAGGCGACGAUGCGUAGCCGACCUGAGAGGGUGAUCGGCCACACUGGGACUGAGACACGGCCCAGACUCCUACGGGAGGCAGCAGUAGGGAAUCUUCCGCAAUGGACGAAAGUCUGACGGAGCAACGCCGCGUGAGUGAUGAAGGCCUUCGGGUCGUAAAGCUCUGUUGUUAGGGAAGAACAAGUACCGGAGUAACUGCCGGUACCUUGACGGUACCUAACCAGAAAGCCACGGCUAACUACGUGCCAGCAGCCGCCGUAAAAC
rnacentral:rRNA from 1 species